CUCCAGGCAAAUCCGGAUAAUCAAGGCUGAGGUGUGAUGACGAGGCACUACGGUGCUGAAGUAACAAAUGCCCUGCUUCCAGGAAAAGCCUCUAAGCAUCAGGUAACAUUAAAUCGUACCCCAAACCGACACAGGUGGUCAGGUAGAGAAUACCAAGGCGCUUGAGAGAACUCGGGUGAAGGAACUAGGCAAAAUGGUGCCGUAACUUCGGGAGAAGGCACGCUGGUGUGUAGGUGA
rnacentral:rRNA from 1 species